rnacentral:lncRNA from 1 species
GCUGAUUUUAACACAUCUGUUGUGCCUAUAGCAGUUGAAGGUAAAAAAAAACAGCUUUAUUUAAAAAAAAAAACAGAUCAGUAAGACAAAAGCUUGAGAAUAAACGAAAGGGCCGAAAAACGACCGUGACUGCCGUUGUUUUACUCUUCAAUAUAUGAGUUACUGCAUAUACACAAAGGAGAUUGUUUUCUGUUCUACUGCCCUACACCUAGUUUGACUGCAUACAAUGUAACCACUGAUGUAGACUACUAUAUUAUUUUUGAUUAUGCAAACAAAUGAAUUCAAAGAGAAAGAUGCGGAAAGAAAUUCUAAAAUUUUCGUUUAAAAACAAAAUGUAAAUAAAAAUAAAAUACCAAAACUGGAACCCUGUUUCAGACAACUAUCCGUUGAAAACUGAUGAUUAUGCAUCACUAUAUGAAACUGAUAAAUUGAUUGCUCCCGUUCUUCCGUGGUAAAUAUAUCACACAUAAUUAGGACGAGGCGAAAGUGGAUCUGAAGUAAAUCAUUGAUACAUUAUUAAGAUAAAGAGUUUGCUAGCGGUAAAACGUAUGCCGUACUAGAAUAAAGUUGAAUAAAAUCAAAAUCGUGAGUAAAGCUAUUAGCCCCCUUUUUUCCCUCAAUUUUAAAUUAUGAUAUUUCGAUGGCUGUUUUUUUUCCUAUCCUAUUAUGGACCCGCUGAUUUUAUAAGAGCGUGUCUUAUUAGUCAAGACC